UGUCAUCAGCAAUUCUAAAAUUUCCCAGCUCAUUUCUAACCCAAUAACUCAGCUGAUGAGCUCAAACUUGACCAAUUAAUUGCGUUAUCGAUUUGAAUAACUUGUUUGGUGAAGUGCUGCAAAAUACUUGUUGAGUUAUUAGUUGAUGUGAGUUGCAAACUAAAAUGCUUGUGCAGUUUAAGAAUUCAUUUAUGGGUCACAGCGAGUCACAAAUCACUUGAGAGACAUCCGGCUCAAAACUUUACGAAGAGUACCUUACACCUAAGUAAUGGCAACGCCAACGCCAACAACUCGAUGACGAUGAUGGUCAAAGCCGAACAAACCGAAAAACCAAAAGCUGAAGCCAUGGCCAAUGCCAAUGUUGAUGGUGAUGGCAUUCAUCGAAGCGUGGCCGGGGCCAUCACUUGGCUCGUUUGCUCAUCGUCAAGACAAAUGGAGAAUAAACAAAUUACUUUCGGCCUUUUUUGCAAUUCCAAAAACGUCACUGCAUAUUCUCUGGACAAGCAAGUCCGACUAGGCCAGGCCAACAACAACAACAACGAGAACAACAACAACAACAGUUGGUUGUGUGUCGUGUUUGUCCACUUGCAGUUGAUUUUCUUGUGGCCUUCUUCUCUACUGUUGUUGUUGCUGUUGUUGUUGUCGAUGUUGCAAGCAACGCCUCCUCUGCUAAACUUUUAAAACGUCAAUCAAUUGUCCAAAGUUGUCGGAGUUGUCUGACAUGUUUUAAAUUAACUGACGAAGACGAACCCAACACACACACACAUUCACACACGAUUUAUGGCCCCAUACUCAAGAUGGCGUAUCCCCCCGCUCCUCUUCCCCUUCCCCUUCCCUACACAACUUUUUGCCUGGCCAAAAUCCAGAAAUACAGCUAAAAAACAUACGUGUGUCAAGACACAACUUGCAGCAGGCAACAACAAACACACAAAGAGACAACACAGACGGACAACGAACAACGACGAACAACGUCCAGCAGCAGAAGCAAUCGCCAUGAAAAUGGCCACAUCACUUGAUAUACUAUACUCUAUCUCUAUCUCUAUAUAUAUUUAUAUAUAUAUAUAUUUGUGUAUAUAUAAAUUGUUGUCGUACGAGUUUUCGGCCUGCAUUGAAAACAUGGAUUACGUGGUACUUGUUAAUGCAACGCAGAACGAAGACUAGAUAAAUGCUUUUUGCUCAAUUGCCCCAUCAAAACGAAACGGUAGCGAACACAUUGUGCAGAGAUGCAUAAAUAAAUUCUGAUUUAAAUAUGGGCAAAGCAAAGCAAACUAAUCGAUUGAUGCAAAGUUCGAGGAUUCUAGCAACAGUUGGCAUUUAAGGAAAAGAAGCGAGUGAAUUUUCGUGCAUUUGUCUACAACAAUUUGAUUGCUUGCAACAAGCGUCGAACUCGUUGCAAAUGCAUGUUUGAUAGGUACAAGUUCUCCGACUCGUUACUGUCUGUCUCGUUACUCCCUUAUUCAUUGCGUGCUUGCAGUCAAAACAAACAGACUACUCGUACAACUUGUGCAACUGUUUGGGAAUGUGUUUAGAUGGCGACGCUGAGACGCAGAGCAGAAGGACAGCUCUGAAGGACAACAUGAACCGGACUUCUGACGGAUGAACAUCGAGAUGGACGGUCAGUUGGACAGCAUGGCAGAGCAGAGAAUAAAAUAGAAGAGGAUAGGAAAGGAAUUGAAAGUAAAGGACUAGACAGGACACACAAGUGCAGCUGUAUUAUUCCGCUGAGCAGUGUAAAUGACUGCAAAAUGUGAAAAUAAUAAUGGACUAAACACUAAAAUUUACAACUUAAGGCAGAUGGACGAUAGACAGAGGGAGAGAGAUAGAAUGAGAGAGAGAAUAAGAGAGGCGCCGAAACUCAAGGGAAGCCAAAGGACAUUCCAACAGUGGGAAAGGAAGAUGAAGAAGAUGGUCUGACUACUGCAAUUAGAUGGCCAGUUGAAUAGACAUUUUGGACAGCUAAACGUUUGUGCUCGAUGGAUAGAUGAAUGGAUGGAUGGAUAGACGGAAUGGAUGGAUGGAUGGAUGGAUGAAGAGUUGGGUUAAAUAGGUAGACAAGUAAUUGCAACGUACGAAAGCUGUUUGAAUUGCCAGCCAGCAUGAACAUACUCGCAAGAACUCGGAGAACUUUGAUUGACAAACAGUUUGGAGGGAAGGAAUGGAGAAUUUUGCGGAGGGAACAGAAGAAGGAGAAAGCUUUCCCAACAGAUGUUUAAGCAAUUGAAGUUAGGGAGUAUGAAGUGAAGCAAGUUAAUUGUGUUGAGUAGUCUGAAGGCAAUCUCUAAAUUGAUACGGAGUUCCAUUAUUUUUAUUUAAUUGACAAUUGACAACAACACACAUAACAUACACACAACACAAGCAAGCAAAAUGGCAGUGAACGAAAGCUAUUUUGAUAGAAAAUGAAAAAUACAUGGCGAACAAUUAUUUUAUUGCUGAAAGCAAACUGAAUGGCCUAAGCCAAAGGCACAGGAUAACCCAAGGACAGCAGCACAUAAAACCCUUCCAAUUAAAUGCAUUUGCAUGCCUGUCAGUGUCAUCAGUGGAACACACACACAUACACACAACACACAAAACACACUAAAAUAAAACUUAAAAUGUCAACUAUUUUGCCAAGUAAAAGAUUUUUGCUAAAUUUUUGCAUCGAAGUACUCUCACUCGCUCCUUCGCUGUGUUCACUUGAGAAUCACAAAUGAAAUAAAAUAUUUUAUGUAUUGUACAUGACAAAAA